UGGGAAUUCUAAAUUCUAUUAUAGGAGCGGC
rnacentral:piRNA from 1 species